GACGAACGCUGGCGGCGUGCUUAACACAUGCCAGUCGAACGGAAAGGCCCUGCUUUUGUGGGGUGCUCGAGUGGCGAACGGGUGAGUAACACGUGAGUAACCUGCCCUUGACUUUGGGAUAACUUCAGGAAACUGGGGCUAAUACCGGAUAGGAGCUCCUGCUGCAUGGUGGGGGUUGGAAAGUUUCGGCGGUUGGGGAUGGACUCGCGGCUUAUCAGCUUGUUGGUGGGGUAGUGGCUUACCAAGGCUUUGACGGGUAGCCGGCCUGAGAGGGUGACCGGCAACAUUGGGACUGAGAUACGGCCCAGACCCCUACGGGAGGCAGCAGUGGGGAAUAUUGCACAAUGGGCGGAAGCCGGAGGCAGCAACGCCGCGUGCGGGAUGACGGCCUUCGGGUUGUAAACCGCUUUCGCCUGUGACGAAGCGUGAGUGACGGUAAUGGGUAAAGAAGCACCGGCUAACUACGUG
rnacentral:rRNA from 1 species